CAUCGUCCUGAUCGCGUCAUCCCCUGGGCAGUGGCAGUUUGCACAAUAAAUUCCUUCUUUGGAGGGGGAGUGUACACUUGAGUCGGUGCAGUCAUCACUAUAAAUGGGGCUUUCUUGCUGAUACUUAAGGCAGCCACAGCUUUCUUUAUCUUUCCUACCUCUUUCGCCCUUUUGCGCUUUUCGGAGUUCACCUGGGUAAUGGUCUUGCCAGAU
rnacentral:lncRNA from 1 species